UAGAAACUAUAUGGUUCCUUCUAAAAUGGU
rnacentral:piRNA from 1 species